rnacentral:rRNA from 1 species
GACGAACGCUGGCGGCGUGCCUAAUACAUGCAAGUCGAGCGGACUUAAAAAGCUUGCUUUUUAAGUUAGCGGCGGACGGGUGAGUAACACGUGGGCAACCUGCCUGUAAGACUGGGAUAACUUCGGGAAACCGGAGCUAAUACCGGAUAAUCCUUUUCUACUCAUGUAGAAAAGCUGAAAGACGGUUUACGCUGUCACUUACAGAUGGGCCCGCGGCGCAUUAGCUAGUUGGUGAGGUAACGGCUCACCAAGGCGACGAUGCGUAGCCGACCUGAGAGGGUGAUCGGCCACACUGGGACUGAGACACGGCCCAGACUCCUACGGGAGGCAGCAGUAGGGAAUCUUCCACAAUGGACGAAAGUCUGACGGAGCAACGCCGCGUGAGUGAUGAAGGUUUUCGGAUCGUAAAACUCUGUUGUUAGGGAAGAACAAGUACGAGAGUAACUGCUCGUACCUUGACGGUACCUAACCAGAAAGCCACGGCUAACUACGUG